UCAUAUGUACAUGCCUACAAUGUUAGUGCACAGAAUCCCAUUGGAACUUCAUAGUUAAGUGUGUUUGGAGUAGAGUAGUACUAGGAUGGGUGACCCACCCAUAAGUCCUAGUGUUUUACAUGCC
rnacentral:rRNA from 1 species